rnacentral:rRNA from 1 species
UAGUAACGGCGAGUGAAGAGGGAAGAGCCCAGCGCCGAAGCCUGCGGUCAGUUGGCUGUUAGGCAAUGUGGUGUUUGGGUCGGUUCGCGGUAUUGCCACUUCACUCGAAUUCCAGCAUUGAGUAUGGUCACUGGAUUUGGCCCAGAGAGGGUGAAAGGCCCGUACGGGUGGAGGUUCAGACAUGUAAGGCAGUUCACCAGGCCGGCCGCAGAGUCGGGUUGUUUGGGAAUGCAGCCCAAAGGGGGUGGUAAACUCCAUCCAAGGCUAAAUACUUGCACGAGUCCGAUAGCGAACAAGUACCGUGAGGGAAAGUUGAAAAGUACUCUGAAGAGAGAGUAAACAGUACGUGAAGCCGCAUGCAGGUAAACGGGUGGCGUCAAGCUGCAGGUUCGGGGAAAUCAGCUGAUUGGGUGUUAUGCCUGUUGAAGCCGGUAGAGUAGUCCAUUGGAGGAGAUGGGUUUGGCCGCGAGGCCAGGCGUGUGUACCGGGCGGUUGCCGGAGCAUGCUACUCUUCUGUGUGUGUGUAUGGCUGCCUAGUCGGUGCACUUUCUCUGAGACCAUCACCACGACCGGUGGGGUCGCCAGUCUGCUGUGGUCAAGUCGUGCCCGAGUGGUCUUUCAGUCGAUUUGGGCGCGAUCACAGACAAUCUCAGUGAACGGCGUAGGUGUGUUUCGGCAUGCUUGCGUGCUAUCGGCUACUGGUUGUCAACGGGUCUGCCUGGUGGUUGUUGUAGCCGCCGCCGGGUGAUUCGGUGGGCCAUGGUGGUAUGAAGAACUGUGCGGUGCACCGAGAGCUUCGGCCUCAGAUGCAGUCUGCAAACACGUUACAAGUGGGAAGGCGGUGCAGGCAUCGUCCGCUCGCCGUCAGGUCUGACUGUCGUGUUGUCCGCAAAAUGUGGGCCCGGUGGUGGCUUGGUGUGAGGUGGGUGGUGCGUGGCGCUUCCUGUGUGGGUUGCAGUGGGCCAAACAGUCAGUGGUGUAGUGGUAGGCCAGCCACCCGACCCGUCUUGAAACACGGACCAAGGAGUUUAACGUGUGUGCGAGUCAAAGGGUCCUACGAAACCCCGAGGCGUAGUGAAAGUGAGGCUUCGAAUUUUCUCGGAGUAAGGUGAGAUCCUGCCGUAACUCGCAGCAGCCUAUGCUAGCGUCAGGCUAAGAGCGGUGGGCGCAUCACCGGCCCGUCUCAUGAUGUGGUCAUCGGGUAGCUGUGGUUGUUGCUUGCCUUUGGUGUGGUAGCAGCCGUGGAGCC